CCUACGGGAGGCAGCAGUGAGGAAUAUUGGUCAAUGGGCGAGAGCCUGAACCAGCCAAGUAGCGUGCAGGAAGACUGCCCUAUGGGUUGUAAACUGCUUUUAUAGGGGAAUAAAGUGAGGUACGUGUACCUUUUUGUAUGUACCCUAUGAAUAAGGACCGGCUAAUUCCGUGCCAGCAGCCGCGGUAAUA
rnacentral:rRNA from 1 species